rnacentral:rRNA from 1 species
UACGGAGGAUGCAAGCGUUAUCCGGAAUUACUGGGCGUAAAGGGCGCGUAGGCGGAUAGUUUAGUCAGAGGUAAAAGCCCAGGGCUCAACCUUGGAACUGCCUUUGAUACUGGCUAUCUUGAGUACGGGAGAGGUGUGUGGAACUCCGAGUGUAGAGGUGAAAUUCGUAGAUAUUCGGAAGAACACCAGUGGCGAAGGCGACACACUGGCCCGUUACUGACGCUGAGGCGCGAAAGCGUGGGGAGCAAACAGG